rnacentral:lncRNA from 1 species
GUCCACCCAUGUGUCCCAUGUGCCACUGUCCCCAAGCUGUCCAUCCAUGUGCCCUACGUGUCCCAUGUCAUCCUGUCCCCAAGGUGUCCAUGUGUCCCGUGUCCCUGUCCCCAAGACAUCCGUGUGUCCCACACAGCUUUGUCCCCAAGCUGUCUGUGUGCCCCACGUGCUCCUGUCCCCAAGUUUUCCAUGUGUCCCCCGUGUCCCUGUCCCCAAGCUGUCCAUCCACGUGUCCCACAUGUCCCUGUCCCCAUGAUGCCCACGUGUCCCAUGUCACCCUGUCCCCAAGGUGUCUGCGUGUCCCUGUCCCCAAGGUGUCCAUCCAUGUGUCCCUUGUGUCCCUGUCCCCAAGACAUCCGUGUGUCCCACACAGCUUUGUCCCCAAGAUGUUCGAGUGUCCCCGUCCCCAGCCCAUCCCCCAGCCCCACACGGUUUGUCCCCACGUUGCCCAUCACCCCACGUCACCCCGUCCUCGCGAUGCCCAUCCGUUGCGCCCACACCCCACAAACCCAGUCACCCCGCUGCCUCCCAGCCCACCCAAACCCCUGCGAACCCGGCGCCACCAAACCCGGCGCCACCAAAGCCAGCGCCACCAAACCCAGCGCCACCAAACGCAGCACCCAUGUCUGACAAAACCACUUUAAAUACAGCAGCACAGGAAGGAGCGGCGGGGCAGCGAUGUCAGCACUGCGCCGCGUCCUCAAAGCCGGGGUUGGCCAUCGCCGCGCCCCGCACCGUGCCAGCCUCGGUGCCCCGUGUGCCACAUUUGGCGUCUUCCGUGCCAGAUUUGGCAUCUUCCGUGCCAGAUUCGGUGUCUCCCGUGCCAGAUUUGCUGCCCUCCACGCCAAACUUGGUGCCCUCCACGCCGGCUUCGGUGCCCUCCGUGCCGAGCGGUGCGGGACCUGCGGGCGCAGCGGGACGGGGUCACCCCGUGGCGGUGGGAUGGGGGGCGCUGU